GUGUAUUGACCCAGAGCAAAGGGCUGUUUGGUCGCAGAUUUUGUGCUUGGAGCCGAGACCGGGCACCUCCGUCCCCCAGCUGUCCCGGAGGGCUGCGAUCCACCAGCCCCCGAUCUCCAGGAGGAGGCCAGCGAAUCCAUGAGUCACCAGGAGUGAGGAGUCACGCACGCACUGAUCCAUCACCACUGGCCAGCGCAGCGCCGAGGGGCCCUACCCGGGAGGAGCCGCCGCCGAUAAGGCCGCGCUGGGCUGUGCUCAGAGGCAGGCAGCGCGCCUUCAACGCGCUGCACCGGGCCCGCGACGCAGCCUCCUGGAGGAAGAUGCCAACGUGCAAAUUUAACACGGCAAAUAGACACUCUUUAAAACCAGCCUCUUAUCUUUUGGGCUCCGAUUCAGGAAUGUGCCCUUGCAGGACUCUGACAUUAAACAUGCAGCACUGGCGAUAACGUGAUUUAAACCAUUUGGGUUUAAGCAACUCAGCACGCCCCGGUGCCGUCCUGGCUCCCAGCUGAAGUCCUGAGCCUGAAGGCCGCUCACCUGCAGCCCUGCUGCUCUCCUGCUCCUUCUGCCGCACUCCAAGUA